rnacentral:rRNA from 1 species
UCCGUAGGUGAACCUGCGGAAGGAUCAUUAGUGAAUAAAUAGGGUGUCCAAUUUAACUUGGAACCCGACCUUCUCACAUCUAACCCUGUGCAUCUGUAUUUAAUGGCGAGCAAUUUUCGAAUUGUGAGCCAUUUCACUUUAUAAACACUAGUCUAUGAAUGUAAAAUUUUUAUAACAAUAAAAACUUUCAACAACGGAUCUCUUGGCUCUCGCAUCGAUGAAGAACGCAGCGAAAUGCGAUACGUAAUGUGAAUUGCAGAAUUCAGUGAAUCAUCGAAUCUUUGAACGCAUCUUGCGCUCUCUGGUAUUCCGGAGAGCAUGUCUGUUUGAGUGUCAUGAAUUCUUCAACCCAACUGUUUCUUGUAAACAGCUGGUGUUUGGAUUCUGAGCGCUGCUGGCUUCGUGCCUAGCUCGUUCGUAAUACAUCAGCAUCCCUAAUACAAGUUUGGAUUGACUUGGCGUAAUAGACUAUUCGCUAAGGAUUCAAUGUUCUGCAUUGAGCCAACUUAAUUAAGGAAGCUUCUAAUUGAAAAGUCUACCUUUAGAUUAGAUCUCAAAUCAGGCAGGAUUACCCGCUGAACUUAAGCAUAUCAAUAAGCGGAGGAAAAG